GGGCGGUGUGUACAAGGGGCAGGGACGUAAUCAAUGCAAGCUGAUGACUUGCACUUACUGGGAAUUCCUCGUUCAUGGAGAAUAAUUACAAUCCCCAAUCCCAAGCACGAAAAGGGUUCACUCGGUUUCCCGCUCCUUUCGGAGUAGGAUGCACAUACACGCUGAUCUCUUCAGUGUAGCGCGCGUGCGGCCCCGGACAUCUAAGGGCAUCACAGACCUGUUAUUGCUCUUUCUCAUACGGCUGAAACGCCGUCUGUCCCUCUAGGAAGCGCUGAGGCAGCACGAAGGAUGCCUCAGUCUAAUUAGUAGGCUAGAGUCUCGUUCGUUAUCGGAAUUAACCAGACAAAUCACUCCACCAACUAAGAACGGCCAUGCACCACCACCCACUGAAUCAAGAAAGGGCUUCAACCUGUCAAUCCUCACAGUGUCCGGGCCGGGUGAGUUUCCCCGUGUUGAGUCAAAUUAAGCCGCAGGCUCCACUCCUGGUGGUGCCCUUCCGUCAAUUCCUUUAAGUUUCAGCUUUGCAACCAUACUUCCCCUGGAACCGAAAGACUUUGGUUUCCCGGAAGCCGCCAGCCGUGUCAUCAAGAGAACACAGGCUGAUUGCUGGUUGGCAUCGUUUAUGGUUAGAACUAGGGCGGUAUCUGAUCGCCUUCGAACCUCUAACUUUCGUUCUUGAUUAAUGAAAACAUUCUUGGCAAAUGCUUUCGCUUUAGUUAGUCUUGCGACGGUCCAAGAAUUUCACCUCUAGCGUCGCAAUACUAAUGCCCCCGUCUGUCCCUCUUAAUCAUUACCUUGGUUCCGAAGACCAACAAAAUAGAACCAAAGUCCUAUUUCAUUAUUCCAUGCAACAUUAUUCGAUCGUGUAAAGACCGCUUUGAGCACUCUAAUUUUUUCAAAGUAAACGUACCGAUCACUAGUGACACUCGGUGAAGAGCACCACUAGACGAUAAACGGUAGUGUGUCCAGUUACGAUAGU
rnacentral:rRNA from 1 species